AAGUCGUAACAAGGUCUCCGUAGGUGAACCUGCGGAGGGAUCAUUGAAGAGUUAGGGCCUCCGGCCCGGACCUCCAAACCCUUUUCGUACUCGAUACCAUGGUUGCCUCGGGGGUCGGACCCUGCCGUCCGCGGUCUGGGGCCCUCCGGUGGACCGACUCAACCUGCAUCUUUGCGUCUGAGUAAAUUUGUAAAGUUAAUCAAAAG
rnacentral:misc_RNA from 1 species